UACGUAGGGAGCAAGCGUUGUCCGGAAUCAUUGGGCGUAAAGCGCGCGUAGGUGGCUUCGUAAGUCCGUUGUGAAAGUCAAAGGCUCAACCUUUGAAAGCCGAUGGAUACUGCGGAGCUAGAGUACGGAAGAGGCGAGUGGAAUUCCUGGUGUAGCGGUGGAAUGCGCAGAUAUCAGGAGGAACACCAAUGGCGAAGGCAGAUCUCUGGGCCGUAACUGACGCUGAGGAGCGAAAGCGUGGGGAGCGAACAGG
rnacentral:rRNA from 1 species